AGAGUGACUAAGAUGUACAGAAAUGUG
rnacentral:piRNA from 1 species